AGGGGUGUAGCUCAGUUGGUUAGAGCAGAGUCCUUAUAAGGCUUGUGUCGCGGGUUCAAGUCCCGCCACCCCUACCA
rnacentral:tRNA from 1 species